UGGCAGUUUCUUCGCACUCCAUAAUAGGGAUUCCCUGGUCUCAGGCUUUAUUCAGCCUUUACCUCCUUCUAAAGGAUUCAUGCAGGCAGCUGGUCAAAUUUCUGUUAAACAACUUGUUCGACUGCUGCCUGUAGAAAUACCAGCCUGUAUUUGUGAUUGCAGUAAUGGGACAGUCCUUGUUUCUUCUGCCAGGCCCAUGAUCCUGAUUACUAUGAAUGGAAAGGAAUCUUUUACAUAUAUUUUUAAGAUAGUUAUUACUUUUAUAAAUCUUAUCUUGUAUAGCUUGUUUUCCUUCUUUAGGUCGUUACAACCUUACCAUGCCUCACUUGUCCUGUGCUGUGUGUGGAUAUUCACGCGGGCCAUCCUUAUCAGAACUUCAGACGAGUGGUUACUGGCCUGGCAACAUUCCUGCAAGUACACUGUAUAACACAGAUGUGCUUGUCUCGUUUAGAGAGAUGAAAAUGGCAUCACCAGGGAUGUCUUAUCAAGCAUUUGUUAAAAUGCUUGAUGAGAAAACAAAACUCUUUGGUCGUAGUGGAAAAAUAUCGGCCAAUGUAUUCAGCUGCAGUUUCAAUGAAUGGGUUGCAGCAAGAUAUGAAGUGGAGAAGAUGUGCCAGGAGGAGUUUUUCACUUGUCCAGCAUGCACUCCAGACAUGCUAGCUGUGUCUGUUGAUGGAAAUCGCAAACACUAUCGUUUUAAAAAUACAGCAAGAGAAAAGGGGACUAUUUGACCAACUUUUUAUACAGAGUGAUGUGGAGGUGUCUGGCUUUGUGGACUUUAUUCACAAAAACAAUAAUCACGUUUCAGGGAGAGGACUGUGUGGAGCAUCACACUGGACAGCAGCAAAAGAAUCAUCCAAAAAAUCAAGCAGUAAACUGGAUGAGGAGGGAUUAGAAAUCGCUGUAUGUCGCCAUGGAAUUCUCCUCAUGGCCUUAAAUAUGUUUCGAGGGGAAAUAUUUGCAUACCCACUUUUUCUUCAGAAAAAAACUUGCAGAAAGGUCACAAGGAAACAUCAAAUUCUUUUGCUCGGAUGUCGCUUGCAAGUACUUCCCAUAUCUACAAAGAGUAUCUAAAAACUGCCCCGAGCUUCAGUCUUUACUGGACAUGCUCCCUUUUCUGUCUGUAAUGCAUGCUAAAGCGCACUCUUGGAAAUGUGAGGUCAAGUAUGGUGGUGCCUAUCAGGAAGGAGCUGGGUCAACUAUUGGUGAAGAAGUGGAACAGGUGAACAGUUUUAUAUCUAGGAUUGCUAUUACUACCAAGUACAUGUCGAAAUCAGGUCGUGCAGACAUGAUUACAAUGCAGGCCAUGUCCUGGAAUAAGCGUAAGCUUCUCAAUUUGGGACAGGCUUUAGUUCAUUGAUAUUUAAAGACUCAAAAAGCUUUGCAAGAGCAACAGUGCAUCUUGGGUGCACUAAAGACAGAGCUGGAUCUGCAUGAUGAUUGUGUAGUUCAUCAGUGGGUUUCAGACAUACAGCAGUGGGCUGAAGAAAAUGACAGAUAUGGAAGUGGUGAUCUGAAAAGAUUACAAGAGGAAAUAGAGGGGCUGACAGUGAGCAUCAAAAGGCGAACACAGCGUCUGUACAGUCAAACAGAUAGCAACAAGCGUCGCCACUCUUUGCGUCAUCGAAGGAAUGAGGAAAAGAAGAAGCUGGCUGCUGCAGUGGAAGAAUACAACAGCAUUGCCGAUUCUUCACAGCAGCUUGGUUCAGUUGAAGACUUCUUUAUAGCUGAGACUGUUGCUUGGCCAUGGCAAAUUCCCGGAAAUACUGAAUCUGUGCCUUUUCUCACCAAGAGGAAGGUGUUUGACCGAGUGAUGGCAGUAAGACGACUUCAGGAAGAAAAAAGUCUCAUUUGUAAGGAGAUGCAACAGCACUGGAUGGUCCUGACACAAAAGUCGUCCAAGCUUGAAGCACUGAUCAGUGAAAUAAGUUCUAAAACUGUUAUUUCUACCCUCUCUGACGCUGCACGCAAGGGGCUCCUGUGCAUUGUUCGAAAGAAACGACAUGAUCUGAAACAUUUAAUGCAGCUUGUAAGGGCAGGCUAUAUGAACAUUUUCAGCCAAGAAGACAUGAUGUCUGAAGAAUCUGAGCUUGAACAGGAAGAGGAAGUACAAAAGGAGCUCUCAGAAAGCAACAGCAGCUCAGAUGAUGACUAAAAUUUACAGUAAAUAAGUUGAAUAUAUUAAGGCACAUUUAACUUCUGUAAAUGGAAAACCAAAAAUUCAUGAUGUAUGAUGCUAGGUGUUGACUUUACACAAUUAUGCACUUCAUAAACAGAUUUUUUUCAGCACAAGUGACAUUCUAUAUGUAACCAUGUAAUGAGUUUGUAGCGUUUUUCAAAAAAUGUUGUUUUCUCUGCUGGUUUGUGUAUCCCCUGCAUAUUAUACUAUAUGCACAUUUUUACACAUUAACAUGAUGAUAAAGCACGCUUGUUGUUCAUGUAUUCAUCAUUUGGUCCUCGAUUUAUGCUGUUUUAAAGUCAGUAAAGUCUGAAUAUAUACAGUACUGUAUGUUUUGUUUGUUUCUUCAUUGGUGGGAAAAGUUGUUCACACAAUGACACAUUUGUGUUUGUC